rnacentral:rRNA from 1 species
UACGUAGGGUGCGAGCGUUAAUCGGAAUUACUGGGCGUAAAGUGUGCGCAGGCGGCCGAGCAAGUCGAGUGUGAAAGCCCCGAGCUUAACCCGGAAAGGUCAAUCGAUACUGCGGGGCUAGAGUGCAGAAGGGGCAACUGGAAUUCUCGGUGUAGCGGUGAAAUGCGUAGAUAUCGAGAGGAACACCUGCGGCGAAGGCGGGUUGCUGGGCUGACACUGACGCUGAAGCGCGAAAGCUAGGGGAGCGAACGGG